rnacentral:rRNA from 1 species
GACGAACGCUGGCGGCGUGCCUAAUACAUGCAAGUUGAGCGCUGAAGGUUGGUACUUGUACCAACUGGAUGAGCAGCGAACGGGUGAGUAACGCGUGGGGAAUCUGCCUUUGAGCGGGGGACAACAUUUGGAAACGAAUGCUAAUACCGCAUAAAAACUUUAAACACAAGUUUUAAGUUUGAAAGAUGCAAUUGCAUCACUCAAAGAUGAUCCCGCGUUGUAUUAGCUAGUUGGUGAGGUAAAGGCUCACCAAGGCGAUGAUACAUAGCCGAACUGAGAGGGUGAUCGGCCACAUUGGGACUGAGACAAGGCCCCAAAUCCUACGGGAGGCAGCAGUAGGGAAUCUUCGGCAAUGGAGGAAAGUCUGAACGAGCAAAGCCGCGUGAGUGAAGAAGGUUUUCGGAUCGUAAAACUCUGUUGGUAGAGAAGAAAGUUGGUGAGAGUGGAAAGCUCAUCAAGUGACGGUAACUACCCAGAAAGGGACGGCUAACUACGUG